rnacentral:rRNA from 1 species
UACAGAGGUCCCAAGCGUUGUUCGGAUUCACUGGGCGUAAAGGGUGCGCAGGUGGGCUGAUAAGUUCGAUGUGAAAGCCCCGGGCUUAACCCGGGAAUGGCAUUGGAAACUGUUGGUCUGGAGGGUUGGAGGGGGGGACUGGAAUUCUUGGUGUAGCAGUGAAAUGCGUAGAUAUCAAGAGGAACACCAGUGGCGAAGGCGAGUCCCUGGACAAACCCUGACACUGAGGCACGAAAGCCAAGGGAGCAAACAGG